CGAACGGCUGAGUGGUGUUUAGCUGCCAGCCGGGUUAAACCACAACAGUAAGGACCCACCCACCACUGGGACACCAAGUGCAACUAUGAGGCUUCUGCAGACCUUACAGGGUCACUUCGAAAUAGGAGAAAAUCGGCUGUCGCAGUCGGCUGCUCCUCAGCCUCCAAGCACCGGUGCUGGAGAUAAUGUGGAUGCCUUAAGACUGAUUAAAAAUACAAGCGAACAAAAGAAACUUUAA
rnacentral:lncRNA from 1 species